rnacentral:rRNA from 1 species
AUGGACUACAUUUUGGUCUGCAUCGAGCUCCAGAGCAAGGAAUACGUGGUGAGGGCUCUCUACGACCUGAAGCUCACCAACCAGACCACCAGGAUGUCGACAUUGAUCUGCUCCCGGCAAUCGUCCUUUCCGGCAUUCGACUCCCGCCACUCAUUCGGGAGGACCUUCUACGCACACAAGAUCGUGCUCACGAUGCGGUCUCCGGUCUUCGAAGCAGAGCUCUACGGGCCAAUGGCAAUGUGCGACACCGAGAUGCAGUGCAUUGAGAUUGUGGAUAUGCAGCCCGCCAUCUUCGGAGCAUUCCUUCACUUCAUAUACACAGAUUCAUUGCCUGCCAUGGAUGACCUCCUUGACAGCCAUGACAAGAGGGAGGUGAUCAGGCAUCUGCUUGUGGCUGCAGACAUGUAUGCCAUGGACAGGCUCAAGCUGAUGUGUGAGGCCAUCCUGUGCAAGGGUCUAGAUGCCGAGAGUGUGGCGGCCACGUUAGCUCUAGCUGAUCAGCAUGGUUGCAGCAAGCUGAGAGACGCUUGCAUUGAGUAUAUCAGGCUCUUCUGUUAG